GUAACUAUAUUUUUUUAAUUUUCUGACUAGAUAAAUAGAUUCUAAAUCAUAUAAAACUUAAUGCUUUGAAUUAUUUAAUAAAUAUUCUAGUUUUUAGGAAUAACUUGAAAUUAUUAGAGUUUUAGUUAUACCAAUCAAAGGUAAACACCUAAAAAGGAGGAAAGGAAGGGGAGAAUUGAAUGUUGAUAUCUUUUUAAAAAUUAUGAUGAAUGUAAGAGACAAAUAAACAACAAUAUAAUAAAAUUUUUUAAUAAUAAUUAUAUAUAAAUAGAAAAAGUAAGGAAGAGAGGAGUGCAAACUCAAGAUUUUAUAGUGGUUAAGUGUAGUUUGACCUACAUUUACUUUCCUCGUAUUUCAAACCAAUUUGAGGGUUUUACUAUGAAUAAUGCUUCCAAUACGAGCCUCCAAGCAUAUAAUUAGAUCAUGGUUCAAAUCAACUCUUUUUGAUAUAUGACUUUAAGUAUCCUUUAGAUUAUGGUUUAAAUGAAUCCUUUACACCUUAUGAGAACAACACGAAUCCUCCAAGUGCUACACUAUCCUUAAAAUCCCUUAAGUGUUACCCUAUACUUAAGACUACCUCACAAGGUAUAUAAAUAUAGAUUUAACAAGAAUAUAACUUUUAGUUUAUAAUUGACACAAUAGAAAGCAAAGAAAACUAGAGUUGAAUAGUUCACUCGAGUAAUAUUUAUGAAGGAUUUUGAACCAUUACCUUUCCAAUACAAAAAUUUUGAAAUUUUUAAACAAGAGUUAGAAGCCCAAACUAGUAAUUGGGCAAUCAUUGAGUUGACCGUUGUCCAAUCGAUCUUCAACUAGUUCUUAACUAAUCAUUGCUUGAUAGAAACAUGUUUUUCUAGACUUAAAGCAAUUUUACUUCCCUCAAUUGAUUGAGCCUAAACGACUUAAUCGAUUCUCCUUUAUCUCGAUUGGUUGCACUAUUUUUACAAAUUUGAGAUUGGAUCAAGGCCAAGAAACCUUGACUAAUAGCUUCUUAAUCUUUGAAAACUCUUUAAAAUGAUUUUAACUACAUUAAAAAAUUGGAUUUUCCUUAAAUCAAAUUUUCACCAAUUUAUAAAAGAAUUAAAAAUACUUUAGCAUUUAGAUGAACUUACAAGAUAUAAACGCAUAAAUAAAAUAUGUAUUGCAUUAUGAUCUUAGUACACCAACAAACUUAUAAAAAAGAUUAAGGUCGUCCCUUUUCCUUGAUUUCCCUCUUGAUAUAUUUUUCAUUAUUUCUUUGAAAAUUUUCUUGCCAUAACACACUUAGAAUGAAUUCCUGGUUUUCAUCUAAAAUACUUUAUUCAUAAUAGAAUACUAAAUGUUUACAUGCAAUGAAAAUUUUGACUUAUUCAUCUUUUCUUAAAAAUAAAAUAAAAUAAAUUUUGCUUAUUUUUAAAUUAAAUAUUAAAUAAAAUAUUAUUAAGUAUUAUUAUUUUCAAAGGGUUAGUUUCAUUCAUCUCCACUAAAGUUUUAGCUAAAUACAUUUAAACCUCAUUGAUUUGAUAUUUUAUCAAAUACCUCCUUUAUUUUAAAUGAGAGAAAAGAUGAGUGAAAGCAAACAAAUGAAAAUGAUAAAAAAUGUAUUUGAUGAAAUUUUUAAACAAAUGAGAGUUGGAUUUAUUUAACUAAAAUCCUCAGGUAAAUGAAAUUAACCUUAUUUUUAAAUUAUCAUUUAUUUUUAACAAAAAAAUAAAAUCAAUUAUGUGUUUAUGAGAUUAUUAAUACCCAUACAUUUAUAAUAUAUACUUAACAUAGUGUCAUUCUUUUUAUAAAAAAAAAUAAUUUAUG
rnacentral:lncRNA from 1 species